UACGGAGGGGGCUAGCGUUGUUCGGAAUUACUGGGCGUAAAGCGCGCGUAGGCGGACCUGCAAGUCGGGGGUGAAAGCCCGAGGCUCAACCUCGGAACUGCCUUCGAUACUGCGGGUCUCGAGUCCGGGAGAGGUGAGUGGAAUUCCUAGUGUAGAGGUGAAAUUCGUAGAUAUUAGGAAGAACACCAGUGGCGAAGGCGACUCACUGGACACAUAUUGACGCUGAGGUGCGAAAGCGUGGGGAGCAAACAGG
rnacentral:rRNA from 1 species